rnacentral:hammerhead_ribozyme from 1 species
AUCCAGAUGAUGACUUCAAAAUAGGAAGAAAUGCACAUCCUGGAU